rnacentral:misc_RNA from 1 species
AACGCACAUUGCGCCCGGCAGCAAUCUGCCGGGCAUGCCUGUCCGAGCGUCAUUUCUCCCCUCGAGCACGGUUGCCCCUAGGGGCGGCUGCUGCUCGGUGUUGGGGCUCUGCGGGCCCCGCCCGCAGUCCCCGAAAUGAAGUGGCGGUCCCGCCGCGGCGCCCCCUGCGUAGUAAUAACUGCCUCGCAUCGGGUCCCGGCGACGACCUGCCGUCGAACCUUUCUUUUGAUGGUUUGACCUCGGAUCAGGUAGGGUUACCCGCUGAACUUAA